CCUACGGGGUGCUGCAGUGAGGAAUAUUGGUCAAUGGACGAGAGUCUGAACCAGCCAAGUAGCGUGAAGGAUGACUGCCCUAUGGGUUGUAAACUUCUUUUAUAUGGGAAUAAAAUGUUCCACGUGUGGGAUUUUGUAUGUACCAUAUGAAUAAGGAUCGGCUAACUCCGUGCCAGCAGCCGCGGUAAUACGGAGGAUCCGAGCGUUAUCCGGAUUUAUUGGGUUUAUAGGGAGCGUAGGUGGAUUGUUAAGUCAGUUGUGAAAGUUUGCGGCUCAACCGUAAAAUUGCAGUUGAAACUGGCAGUCUUGAGUACAGUAGAGGUGGGCGGAAUUCGUGGUGUAGCGGUGAAAUGCUUAGAUAUCACGAAGAACUCCGAUUGCGAAGGCAGUUCACUGGACUGCAACUGACACUGAGGCUCGAAAGUGUGGGUAUCAAACAGGAUUAGAUACCCGUGUAGUC
rnacentral:rRNA from 1 species